rnacentral:rRNA from 1 species
GAUGAACGCUGGCGGCGUGCCUAACACAUGCAAGUCGAGCGAUUUACUUCGGUAAAGAGCGGCGGACGGGUGAGUAACGCGUGGGUAACCUGCCCUGUACACACGGAUAACAUACCGAAAGGUAUGCUAAUACGAGAUAAUAUACUUUUAUCUCAUGGUAGAAGUAUCAAAGCUCUGGCGGUACAGGAUGGACCCGCGUCUGAUUAGCUAGUUGGUAAGGUAACGGCUUACCAAGGCGACGAUCAGUAGCCGACCUGAGAGGGUGAUCGGCCACAUUGGAACUGAGACACGGUCCAAACUCCUACGGAGGCAGCAGUGGGGAAUAUUGCACAAUGGGCGAAAGCCUGAUGCAGCAACGCCGCGUGAGCGAUGAAGGCCUUCGGGUCGUAAAGCUCUGUCCUC